CACGUAGGCGGAUAUUUAAGUCAGGGGUGAAAUCCCAGAGCUCAACUCUGGAACUGCCUUUGAUACUGGGUAUCUUGAGUAUGGAAGAGGUAAGUGGAAUUCCGAGUGUAGAGGUGAAAUUCGUAGAUAUUCGGAGGAACACCAGUGGCGAAGGCGGCUUACUGGUCCAUUACUGACGCUGAGGUGCGAAAGCGUGGGGAGCAACCA
rnacentral:rRNA from 1 species